GUGAAUCAUCGAAUCUUUGAACGCAAAUUGCACUCUCUGGUAUUCCGGAGAGUAUGCCUGUUUGAGGGUCAGUUUAAAUAAAAUCGGUUUGGUUGCUGCCUUUCGUGGUUACGCACCGGAUUUGGGUUGUCUUGCCUUCGGUUAAGUUACCUAAAAUUUUUCCUGAUCUUUUUCGAACGUAUUUAAAUUAUUUUUCGUACGUUUUCGAUUAUGAAUACUAGGUUUGGUCAACCU
rnacentral:misc_RNA from 1 species